rnacentral:rRNA from 1 species
AUUGAACGCUGGCGGCAUGCCCUACACAUGCAAGUCGAACGGUAACGGGCCUUCGGAUGCCGACGAGUGGCGAACGGGUGAGUAAUGCAUCGGAACGUACCUUCCAGUGGGGGAUAACGUAGCGAAAGUUACGCUAAUACCGCAUAUUCUGUGAGCAGGAAAGCAGGGGAUCGCAAGACCUUGCGCUGAUUGAGCGGCCGAUGUCAGAUUAGCUAGUUGGUGAGGUAAAGGCUCACCAAGGCGACGAUCUGUAGCGGGUCUGAGAGGAUGAUCGGCCACACUGGACCUGGGACACGGUCCAGACUCCGACGGGAGGCAGCAGUGGGGAAUUUUGGACAAUGGGGGCAACCCUGAUGCAGCCAUGCCGCGUGAGUGAAGAAGGCCUUCGGGUUGUAAAGCUCUUUCGGUCGGGAAGAAAUCGCAUGGGUUAAUACCCUGUGCGGAUGACGGUACCGGCAUAAGAAGCACCGGCUAACUACGUGCCAGCCGCCGCCGUAAGAC